rnacentral:lncRNA from 1 species
CUCUUUUUCAUAGCUCGAGGAUGGCUCCACGGUUUGAUGAUUUUGUUUCGUCUCCUUUUCUAUCUUUGUUCUCUCAUCUUGUUGCACCUUUCAUUGCUGCUCGCUUCUCUGAUGGCUCUUUUUUCGCCAUAUUUGCUACUCCAGGUUUGGAUAGUGUUUUCUUCUGUGUAUGCUUUGUGUGCUUGGAAGGUUAUUUCUAGUCUAAAGUUUGAGCUCUUGUUUUUCGGUGGUAGGCUUCCAUUCUCCUCCCUCAGGUUGUUUCUUUUCUUCUCUUGCUUUCCUUGGUGUAGGUGUGCGGAGUUAGUCUUUGGAGCUUUGGUCUCUUCUACUUAGAGCUUUGUGGUUCUUCGCUGGCAUGAACGUCUUGUAUGUGUUUGUUUAGUUUGUGAGGUGCUUUUUACCUUUUAGCUGGUGGUUGUGAUUCCGGUGCUUGAGGCAUGUGUCUUCUUGUUUCGUGGUGACUCUGGUCUCCUGAUGAUUAUUCUUUCUCUCACCUUUUUGGGGUUUUUGGGUUUUUUUGGGUUGGUGCUUGAUCACGCUCCUUUGAGCUCGGAGGAAUGCUUUGUCUUAUAUUUUACUCUCUCUGUUCCAAAAUAGAUGAUGUUUUAGAAAUGUUAUGAUGUUUCAAAAUAGAUGAUGUUUUGAUAUUUUAUAUUAAUUUAAAUUUUAUCGAAAACUGUGUGACCAGUGAUGUUUUAUAUUUAUUUUUAAGGAUUGGAUGAAUUAAUUUUGGUUUAUAUUUUUAAUGUUUUUUUAGAAAAAAAGUGUAUACCAUAAUUCUUGUGCAUACAGUUAAAACAUCAAAUAUUUUGGAACAGAAGGAAUAUCAUUUUAUCUUUUCUAACAUCUGCUUGUUCUAUCCAUGAUAUUAUUGGUACGAUGAGGUAAGUUAGUUUUCUUUGUUGAUCUUUUUCCAGCUCCAAACUUUUAUUGAGUUAGUGUUACUAUAGUAUUUGGCUCUUUUUUUUUGGUUGUGAAAGUUGUAGGUUUAGAUUAUGUGUUGUAUUCUUGUUUUUUCUUAUUAGUUUGGUUAUUUGUGGAAGUUGUAGGGCAGUUCUGAGCAAAGUGACCUAUCUUAUCACAUCGGUAACACUCAACCUUUGAUGCGUCUCUCUCUUGCCUAUAAUAUCCGUUUUGUUAAUAUCCAAAUCUACCACGACCUCUUCCUCGAUAUCCAUACUGACCGCCUCUUCCCGAAUCAUACCUCUCCUGUUGUGAUUGGGAGUUGUGAUUGGGAGUCUGCAUACAUAAGUUUAUCUUGGCUUUGCUCGUCAUGCUUCUCUUUUUCCUUGUCAUGAAUCUUCUCCUCAUAAAAUAAUAGAAAAUGGUAAAAUAACAAAAAUAAUAGAAAAUAUUUAAAAUUAAUUUUUUUUUAUUCAUCUUGAAUUUUAGUGACUAAUAAAAUAAAUUAUCAAAUUUUAUACAAAGAUGGUUAAUAUUAAAAGAGUAAAUAGUGCAUAAUUAGAAAGUACUUCGCUAAAUUGCAAUAAUCUAUAAGAAAAAGGACUUAAAGUGUAAAAAUAUAUAUAUAUGAAAGGCACAUGUCAUCAAACUCCCUUGCCACUUGUAGAAAAAACUAACUUUAUAUAUAAAGAUUAGUAUAAGCGAAUGUGGAUGAGACUGAUAAGAAAUUAAAUAAUAUUGGUAAGAAGGGAUGCUGAGACAGAAAAUAAACAAAUUGAUAUAUAUUUUUAUUUUUAUUAUUGAACAAAAAAUUGGUAUAUAUUUCUAUUAAAAUUUGAA